GCCUUUCAAAAUUUUUAAUAAACAUGGAAUCUUGCUAUGCUGGCCAGGCUGGUCUUGAACUGCUAGCCUCAAGCGAUCCUCCCUCCUUGGCCUCUCAAAAUGUUGGGAUUAUAGGCGUGAACCACUGUAACCAGCCUCAAGACAGGCUUUCUAAGACACAAGAUUCCGCGUGUCAACUGUAUCCACGGAAACCAUUCCUUAGUUUAUUGUCACCGCCAUUCCUAACUCUGAUGUGAAAAUCCCUGCGUUCAUCAACAUAACCCAGUUAGGGUCGCACUCAUCACGGGGCCCCCAUUGCCUCUGGCGCACCCCACGACUGACAUCUGCGGGGCCUUCGCGCUAGGCUUCGAGUUUCAGCUUCCGCACCAGGCCUGCCUUUCUGCAGGGGCCAGGGUGGGGGUCGUGUGCUGAUUGGGCCCUCUGAACCGCCACCGCUGCAGAGGGGCUGUUCCUUCCGUCACAUCCCUUGUGCCCGAAUCCACCCUGUGUCUUCUCUUUUCUCAGCAGGACAUUUUAAAAGCCCAGACCCCCUCCUUACAGAGCAAAUGUCCAGGCUUCGGAGGUCACUGUCACAUCCCAAGAACCCCCUUCACCAGGUGCCACUCUUGAGACUGGACUGAAGCCCCCUGGAGAGUUCCACUUGCCUUUGUCCUGCUGCCUGAGAUGAGGGCAUGGACAGCCGGGUACAAGACGGGACAGGCAACCUCGCAGUGGUGGUAACCCUGUGCAUGAACCCUGGGCCUGGCACGUGGACCUCCUGUGACCGUCCCCACAGGCCCGUGAGGCUGAGCUUGGCACUGCCCAAGACCACACAGUCCAUGCGCAGUGGAGCUGGGGUCCAGGCUGCCCACCAGGGCAGUGACUGCAAUGGUGGCAGCAGGGGACAGUCACCAUGGUGAGCUCAAGCCAGGCGCUGCACUGACCUUGAGGGAGGGCUCCAUGCUUCCCCUUCCCACAGCUGCAGUGAGGGCUAGGAGAGCAGGGUCGGCUGCAGGCUUGAGUCCUGGGGUGCCUCUGGGCUGACGGGCCCUGCCUGACCUGCUCCUCCAGUGCCCCAGCCCUGCCCCACCCACGUCCCCUCCUCUCACUGCCCCCUGGCCCACUCCGCUGCGGUCUCAGUGCCUUCCCAGGCUGGGCAUCAUCUGAUGGGAGGAAAAUGAGGGCCCCAGACUCUGUGUCAUCCUGGCAGGACCCCUCCCCUCCCAUGGCUUUGAGCCCAUGAGAUGGCCUUGGACAAAGCGGCAAUGGGCCCUUCCUGAGACACAGUGCGGCCAUCUACUGGGAAACUGCCCAGUGUGACUCUGAUGACUGUGAUGUGAAUCCCACAGCAAAGUUGAGCAGUGCGCAACCUGGGCUACUGCACCUGGCAGCCCUGGCUCCUCCUCCUCUGCCUCUUCCUGCUCCUUCAUUCUCCCCCAGAGCUCUAAUUGUCACUGAGAUUUUAUGUUUCGUUUAACAAAUGACUGUCUCCCCGCUUGAACAGAACCUCCAUGGGGGGAGGGAAGAGUGUCUGUUGUAUAAAUAGUUGUAUUUCAGUGCAUAAAACAGUGCCUGCCUCAAA
rnacentral:lncRNA from 1 species